AAUUGCUGAACAAACUGCAGUGAUGCUGGUGGUCAGGUAAAAUGAUUUGACCUAAGCUUGCAAGUAAUUUCAGCAAGUUUUUAAUUCUAAGUAUCUGUGCACAUGAUUUCAACAGGCACUGCUUUGCAGGAUUGGGAAACAUGUUUUUCCAAGUUGAUCUUACCAAAUGUUAUAAGCAUUGUAAAGUAUAAACCUAAUUGGGCAGAUGAUAUUAGGUGGAGCCUCUGAAGUUUUAUGCUUAAUUUCACACACAAAUUCAUGUCUGUUACUGCUCCUUCAAGAACCCAUGGCAGUUUUUCUCAAGACAUGCUCCUAUCCAAGUUUGUGUUAAACAGCAAUUUUAAACACAGAUACACAUAAAACUUGUCCUGCAGACUGAGGUAAAUAAAAUAUACUUUGUCUACUCUUUUGUAGUGCCCACAUUUCAAUGGGCUAUAUGCUGCAUUUCAUCAAAUCAAUGUAUCAUUACUUUUUUCCUAAAUAGUAGAACAAAAAAAAUCUAUGUUAAAAGAAUGAUGGGAAUACAGAUUCAAGCAUCAAUAUACUAAAAAUUGCCUGAAGCCACAUUUCAUUUAUAACCUUAAUGCAGUCUUUUUUUUUCCCUUUUUUUUUUUUUAUCCCAUCAUUAAGGUUGCAACCUGUAAUUAAGCAUUUUUAGGCCAUUUUUCUUUCUGGACUGUCUCAUUAAGCACACAAGAUAGACAGCUACCUUAUGAUGUUGUCACUGCUUUCCUCCACAUUGCUCAAAGUGUAGCUGCAGGCCUGACCAACUGAACAGUAUUCCAGUCCUGCUCUGGAGAUGUGAUCAGAUUUCCUCAUGGGAUCCUCCAUUGUGCUCAGCACCACAGGAUCUUCAACUGCUUCAGAAACAGCAGACUACUGUGAGAUGAACGAUUCCUGAUUUUUAGCAUUAGAGAGCUGAGCUGCAGAGAGGUCAAGCAGAAGAACUCACUUCAGUUUGAAAAUACUUCAAGAAGUCACACUGUAAGGAGUUCAAAAACAAUUCAGUUGAAAGAAGACGCUUUCUUUUCAAAAUAAAAAUGUUCUUGAAGGAAAA